UCCCCGAUAGCUCAGUCGGUAGAGCAAAUGACUGUUAAUCAUUGGGUCGCAGGUUCGAGUCCUGCUCGGGGAG
rnacentral:tRNA from 1 species